rnacentral:misc_RNA from 1 species
GAACGCACAUUGCGCCCAGUGGUAUUCCACUGGGCAUGCCUGUUCGAGCGUCAUUUCAACCCUCAAAAGCUUGCUUUUGGUGUUGGAGGAAUACCUGUAAAAGGGUACCCUCUGAAAUUUAGUGGCGGGCUCGCUAGAAUUUUGAGCGUAGUAAUUUUACCUCGUUUUUAAAGACUAGUGGGACUUCUUGCCGUAAAACCCCCAACUUUCUGAAAUUUGACCUCGGAUCAGGUAGGAAUACCCGCUGAACUUAAG